UACGGGGGGGGGUAAGCGUUGUUCGGAAUUACUGGGCGUAAAGGGCUCGUAGGCGGCCAACUAAGUCAGACGUGAAAUCCCUCAGCUUAACUGGGGAACUGCGUCCGAUACUGGCAGGCUUGAAUCCGGGAGAGGGAUGCGGAAUUCCAGGUGUAGCGGUGAAAUGCGUAGAUAUCUGGAGGAACACCGGUGGCGAAGGCGGCAUCCUGGACCGGUAUUGACGCUGAGGCGCGAAAGCCAGGGGAGCAAACGGGG
rnacentral:rRNA from 1 species